rnacentral:rRNA from 1 species
GGUUGAUCCUGCCAGUAGUGAUAUGCUUGUUUCAAAGAUUAAGCUACGCAUGUCUAAGUAUAAGCGAACUUAUACAGUGAAGCUGCGGAUGGCUCAUUAAAACAGUUUGAAUUUAUUUGAUGAAUGUAUGAGAAUACUACUUGGAUAACCAUAGUAAUUCUAGUGCUAAUACGUGCAACGACGCCCGACCGUUUCACUACGGAAGGGCUGUAUUUAUUGGAUACCAAAACCAUCCUUCCCUCGGGAAGUUUUGUUUGAUGAUUCACAAUAACUGAUCGGAUCGCCACUGUGGUGGCGACAGGUCAUUCAACAUUCUGCCCUAUCAGCUUUCGAUGGUUGUGUAGUGGACAACCAUGGCCAUAACGGGUAACGGAGAAUCAGGGUUCGAUUCCGGAGAAGGAGCUUGAGAAUUGGCUACUACAUCUAAGGAAGGCAGCAGGCGCGCAAAUUACCCAAUCCCGAUUCGGGGAGGUAGUGACAAAAAAUAACAAUACCGGGCCUUUUUGGGCUUGGUAAUUGGAAUGAGGGAGAGUUAAACGGACCAUCGAGUAUCCAUUGGAGGGCAAGUCUGGUGCCAGCAGCUGCGGUAAUACCAGCUCCAAUAGCGUAUAUUAAAGUUGUUGCAGUUAAAAAGCUCGUAGUUGGACUUGUGUGCGCUGUCCGCGGGUGGCCUGCGCCCAAAAGGGCGUUUCGGUUCGGCCCCGGUGGCGCCUUGAAAUCUGCAGCUGGGGGGACGUUGGCCUUAACUGGUCGGCGACCGCACGCCGGCCGCUCGGUUACUGUGAGAAAAUUAGAGUGUUCAAGGCAGGCAUUGGGUGCAAUUGAAUACAUUAGCAUGGAAUAAUAAAAUAUGGCUCCUGCCGUAUUUUGUUGGUUUUGACUGGUGGGAGUAAUGAUUGAUAGGGACGGUUGGGGGUGCUAGUAUUGAGCGGCCAGAGGUGAAAUUCAUGGAUUCGCUCAAGACUAACUUAUGCGAAAGCAUUCACCAAGGACGUCCUCUUUAAUCAAGAACGAAAGUUGGGGGAUCGAAGACGAUCAGAUACCGUCGUAGUCUCAACCAUAAACUAUGUCGACUUGGGAUCGGCGGUAGUUUUUUCAUUAAGACACUGUCGGGACCACGGGAGAAAUCAAAGUGUCUGGACUCUGGGGGAAGUAUGGUCGCAAGGCUGAAACUUGAAGGAAUUGACGGAAGGGCACCACCAGGAGUGGAGCCUGCGGCUUAAUUUGACCCAACACGGGGAAACUUACCAGGUCCAGAGAUGUAGAGGAUUGACAGAUUGAAGCUCUUUCUUGAUCACUUCGGUGGUGGUGCAUGGCCGUUCUUAGUUGGUGGAGUGAUUUGUCUGGUUAAUUCCGUUAACGAACGAGACCUCAGCCUGCU